UUGGAGGGCAAGUCUGGUGCCAGCAGCCGCGGUAAUUCCAGCUCCAAUAGCGUAUAUUAAAGUUGUUGCAGUUAAAAAGCUCGUAGUUGAAUUUCGGGGUUAGUAGGUUGGUCGUGCCUCAGGUAUGUACUGAUCUCACUGAUUCCUCCUUCCUGAUGAACCGUAAUGCCAUUAAUUUGGUGUUGCGGGGAAACUGGACUGUUACUUUGAAAAAAUUAGAGUGUUUAAAGCAGGCUAACGCUUGAAUACAUUAGCAUGGAAUAAUGAAAUAGGACGUUCGAUCCUAUUUUGUUGGUUUCUAGGAUUGACGUAAUGAUUAAUAGGGAUAGUUGGGGGCAUUAGUAUUCAAUUGUCAGAGGUGAAAUUCUUGGAUUUAUUGAAGACUAACUACUGCGAAAGCAUUUGCCAAGGAUGUUUUCAUUAAUCAAGAACGAAAGUUAGGGGAUCGAAGACGAUCAGAUACCGUCGUAGUCUUAACCAUAAACUAUGCCGACUAGGGAUCGGACGAUGUUAACUUUUCUUGACUCGUUCGGCGCCUUACGGGAAA
rnacentral:rRNA from 1 species